rnacentral:rRNA from 1 species
AUUGAACGCUGGCGGCAUGCUUUACACAUGCAAGUCGAACGGUAACAGGCCUUCGGGCGCUGACGAGUGGCGAACGGGUGAGUAAUGCAUCGGAACGUGCCCAGUCGUGGGGGAUAACGCAGCGAAAGCUGUGCUAAUACCGCAUACGAUCUGUGGAUGAAAGCGGGGGACCUUCGGGCCUCGCGCGAUUGGAGCGGCCGAUGUCAGAUUAGGUAGUUGGUGGGGUAAAGGCCCACCAAGCCGACGAUCUGUAGCUGGUCUGAGAGGACGACCGGCCACACUGGGACUGAGACACGGCCCAGACUCCUACGGGAGGCAGCAGUGGGGAAUUUUGGACAAUGGGCGCAAGCCUGAUCCAGCAAUGCCGCGUGCAGGAAGAAGGCCUUCGGGUUGUAAACUGCUUUUGUACGGAGCGAAAAGGCUCCCUCUAAUACAGGGGGCUCAUGACGGUACCGUAAGAAUAAGCACCGGCUAACUACGUGCCAGCCGCCGCCGUAAAAC